GGGGAAUAUUGCACAAUGGGGGAAACCCUGAUGCAGCGACGCCGCGUGAAGGAAGAAGUAUCUCGGUAUGUAAACUUCUAUCAGCAGGGAAGAAAAUGACGGUACCUGACUAAGAAGCCCCGGCUAACUACGUGCCAGCAGCCGCGGUAAUACGUAGGGGGCAAGCGUUAUCCGGAUUUACUGGGUGUAAAGGGAGCGUAGACGGCAUAACAAGUCUGAUGUGAAAGGCUGGGGCUUAACCCCGGGACUGCAUUGGAAACUGUUAAGCUUGAGUGCCGGAGGGGUAAGCGGAAUUCCUAGUGUAGCGGUGAAAUGCGUAGAUAUUAGGAGGAACACCAGUGGCGAAGGCGGCUUACUGGACGGUAACUGACGUUGAGGCUCGAAAGCGUGGGGAGCAAAC
rnacentral:rRNA from 1 species